rnacentral:rRNA from 1 species
CACGUAGGGUGCGAGCGUUGUCCGGAAUUAUUGGGCGUAAAGAGCUCGUAGGCUGUUCGAUAAGUCGGGUGUGAAACCUCCAGGCUCAACCUGGAGACGCCACCCGAUACUGUCAUGACUAGAGUCCGGUAGGGGAGCGUGGAAUUCCUGGUGUAGCGGUGAAAUGCGCAGAUAUCAGGAGGAACACCAGCGGCGAAGGCGGCGCUCUGGGCCGGUACUGACGCUGAGGAGCGAAAGCGUGGGUAGCAAACAGG